UCAACUUGAGAGUUUGAUUCUGGCUCAGAACGAACGCUGGCGGCAGGCCUAACACAUGCAAGUCGAACGACAUAGUGGCAGACGGGUGAGUAACGCGUGGGAACGUACCCUUCACUACGGAAUAGCUCUUGGAAACGAGUGGUAAUACCGUAUACGCCCUUCGGGGGAAAGAUUUAUCGGUGAAGGAUCGGCCCGCGUUAGAUUAGCUAGUUGGUGAGGUAAUGGCUCACCAAGGCGACGAUCUAUAGCUGGUCUGAGAGGAUGAUCAGCCACACUGGGACUGAGACACGGCCCAGACUCCUACGGGAGGCAGCA
rnacentral:rRNA from 1 species